rnacentral:rRNA from 1 species
AGGACGAACGCUGGCGGCGUGCUUAACACAUGCAAGUCGAGCGGAAAGGCCCUUCGGGGUACUCGAGCGGCGAACGGGUGAGUAACACGUGAGCAACCUGCCCUUAGCUCUGGGAUAGCUCCGGGAAACCGGAAUUAAUACCGGAUAUGACCUAGGCCGACAUCGGCCGUGGUGGAAAGUUUUUCGGCUAGGGAUGGACUCGCGGCCUAUCAGCUAGUUGGUGGGGUAAUGGCCUACCAAGGCGACGACGGGUAGCCGGCCUGAGAGGGCGACCGGCCACACUGGGACUGAGACACGGCCCAGACUCCUACGGGAGGCAGCAGUGGGGAAUAUUGCGCAAUGGGCGGAAGCCUGACGCAGCGACGCCGCGUGCGGGAUGAAGGCCUUCGGGUUGUAAACCGCUUUCACCAGGGGCGAAGCGAGAGUGACGGUACCUGGGGAAGAAGCGCCGGCUAACUACGUGCCAGCAGCCGC